rfam:Triticum aestivum genome assembly, contig: Triticum_aestivum_CS42_TGACv1_scaffold_129636_2BL
GAGCUACUCCCUCCGUUCGGAAUUACUUGUCGCAGAAAUGGAUGUAUCUAGACCGUUCGGAAUUACUUGUCGCAGAAAUGGAUGUAUCUAGACGUAUUUUCGUUCUAGAUACAUCCAUUUCCGAGACAAGUAAUUCCGAACGGAGGGAGUAGAUG